CGCGCAGGCAGAUAGGUAAGUCAGAUGUGAAAUCUCGGGGCUCAACUCCGAAACUGCGUCUGAAACUGCUUAUCUAGAAUCUCGGAGAGGGAGGUGGAAUUUCGCAUGUAGGGGUAAAAUCCGUAGAGAUGCGAAGGAACAUCAGAGGCGAAGGCGGCCUCCUGGCCGAGUAUUGACGCUGAGGCGCGAAAGCGUGGGGAGCAAACAGGAUUAGAUACCCUGGUAGUC
rnacentral:rRNA from 1 species